UACGGAGGGUGCAAGCGUUAUCCGGAUUCACUGGGUUUAAAGGGCGCGCAGGCGGCGCAUUUUGUCAGGCGUGAAAGCCCCGGGCUUAACCUGGGAACUGCGUUUGAUACGGAUGGGCUAGAGUUCGGGAGAGGAGAGUGGAAUUCCCAGUGUAGAGGUGAAAUUCGUAGAUAUUGGGAAGAACACCGGUGGCGAAGGCGGCUCUCUGGACCGAGACUGACGCUGAGGCGCGAAAGCGUGGGGAGCAAACAGG
rnacentral:rRNA from 1 species